rnacentral:rRNA from 1 species
CCUGCCCACUGAUUGAUUUAAAGGGCCGCAGUAUACUGACUGUGCGAAGGUAGCAUAAUCAUUAGUCUUUUAAUUGAGGGCUGGUAUGAAUGGUUUGACAAGAGGCAUUCUGUCUCUUUUGUAUUUCUUGAACUUUACUUUCAAGUUAAAAGGCUUGGAUGAUCUAGAGGGACGAUAAGACCCUAUAAAGUUUUAUAUUUUUUCUUUUGAGUUUAAAAGUAUUUGUUUAACUAAGAUUGGAGGGAAGGUAUUUUGUUGGGGCGACAGGAGUAUAAUUAAUUAAUAACUGCUUCUAGAGAGUUUACAGUAAUUUUUGUUAUUUAUUGAUCCUUAAUAGAGAUUAUAAGAUUAAGUUACUUUAGGGAUAACAGCGUAAUUUUUUUUGAGAGUUCUAAUCGAGAAAAAAGUUUGCGACCUCGAUGUUGAAUUAAGGUACCUUUGUAGAGUAGAAAUUAUAAGAGGGGGUCUGUUCGACCUUU